CAAUCACUUCUCUUCAGCUCAGUUCCAGAC
rnacentral:piRNA from 2 species